AACGAGCGCUGGCGGCAGGCCUAACACAUGCAAGUCGAGCGAGGACUUCGGUCCUAGCGGCGGACGGGUGAGUAACGCGUGGGAACGUGCCCUUUGCUACGGAAUAGCCCCGGGAAACUGGGAGUAAUACCGUAUGUGCCCGAGAGGGGAAAGAUUUAUCGGCAAAGGAUCGGCCCGCGUUGGAUUAGGUAGUUGGUGGGGUAAUGGCCUACCAAGCCGACGAUCCAUAGCUGGUUUGAGAGGAUGAUCAGCCACACUGGGACUGAGACACGGCCCAGACUCCUACGGGAGGCAGCAGUGGGGAAUCUUAGACAAUGGGCGCAAGCCUGAUCUAGCCAUGCCGCGUGAGCGAUGAAGGCCUUAGGGUUGUAAAGCUCUUUCAGUGGGGAAGAUAAUGACGGUACCCACAGAAGAAGCCCCGGCUAACUCCGUGCCAGCCGCCGCGGUAACAC
rnacentral:rRNA from 1 species